rnacentral:rRNA from 1 species
AGUUGAUCCUGGCUCAGGAUGAACGCUAGCGAGACGCUUAACACAUGCAAGUCGAAUGUUGCAGUAAUGCGACAUGGCAGACGGGUGAGUAACACGUGCUUAAUUUACCCCGGAGUGGGGGACAACAUCGGAAACGGUGAUAAUCCCGCAUACGUUCCAUAAAAUGAAAAUAUAUGGAAGAAAGAUUUAUCGCUCUGGGAGAAGGGCGCGGCUGACUAGUUAGUUGGUGAGGUAAUGGCUCACCAAGACGAUGAUCAGUAGCUGGUCUGAGAGGACGAACAGCCACAAUGGGACUGAGACAAGGCCCAUACCCCUACGGGGGGCAGCAGUGGGGAAUCUUGCGCAAUGGACGAAAGUCUGACGCAGCGAUCUCGCGUGAAGGAUGAAGCUUUGCGGAGUGUAAACUUCUUUUCUGGGAGAAAACAACUGAUGGUAUCUCAGGAAUAAGGGACGGCUAACUACGUGCCAGCAGCCGCGGUAAUACGUAGGUCCCAAGCGUUAUCCGGAUUUACUGGGCGUAAAGCGUCCGUAGCCGGCUUUGUAAGUCCGCUUUCAAAACCCGAAGCUCAACUUCGGAUCGGGAGUAGAUACUGCAAAACUAGAGAAAGAUAGAGGUAUGUAGAAUUUC